rnacentral:snRNA from 1 species
AUCUUUGCGCUUGGGGCAAUGACGCAGUCAAUGAGGUAUUAACCGAGGCGCGUCAAUUGCUGGUUGAAAACUAUUUCCAAACCCCCUCUUAGGCCUGGGCUUUCCCCUGGCCUCUGAGAAUUUCUGGAAGGGUCCCAUAAUUGGGUAAGACC